GUUUUGACUUUGUGGUCCAAACCUUCCCUAUUGAUCAACAAGGGAACAGGGAAAAAUUUUGCUUCCAAAAAUUUAUAUCUAAAGUAAAAAAUGGUGGGAGGAGCGACAGGAAAUGGAGCAGACACUAAAGAAGAACAAGAAUGGAGAGAAGCUGGAGGAGGAGACAGUCAAGACCCAGUAUCGAAUUCGUCAUUUCUACCGGAAUUGAAUCUUCUACUUGUGCUUUUAUCAUUGGUUCCUUCCAAUUCGGAUGAAGAUUCAAACGGUGACAAUGGUGAGUUGAGAAUGAAAGAGCUUGAAACUAGUAAAGUUUGUAAUACUGCACGAUCGAGCGUAAAAAAGAAAGACGUAAUUGAAUCGAGGCCUGAAGGUCGACGAAUACCUCAAAGGUUUCAUACAACAAUAAAAGAUCACAGGCAUGGCAGAAAAAUGUGAAGCAGUCGAAUAAGAAGACAGUGAAGAAACAUGAAGAUUUGUUGCCGCUAUUCAAGUGAUGUUGAAAUUCUUCUUUGCUCUUCUUAUUUGGCUUGAUUUUACCAUUUUUCCCUUUUUGUAAUUUUGACUUCUUCGAUGCUUGUGGCCUAUAUCUUUGAAUAGCCCUAUUACUUUCAUUAUCCUUCAUAAAACAGGCAUAAAUAAUGGUGAAUAGAAUCAUACUCAUACAAAAAUUUUCCAUUAUUAUAGCUUAACAACUAACAUACUUAGGCUCUAACCCAAUUUUCAAUAAAGACGUUUGUCGUUAAUCUAAUGGGACAAUCGUCUAACCCUACUACAUUAAAUUACCAAGGAGUAAAGAAAUUUGUCUUAUAUUCAAAAACUUCAAAGGUUGUGUCUUGACCAACCGUGUCAUUGUACCUUAAAUUCUCAUUUGGAAAUAUAGAAUGCAUACCAAACCGUAAAGAUAUAUAACUCCACUUAGGGUUAGAAUAGCCUCAUUGUACUAAAAAAAAUGUGGUCAAUAUUAUCUUCAUUGGGCAAAAUUACUUGCGGAAAUCGAAGGACCUGGAUUUCGAAAAUAACUUGCCUAUCUACAUGAGUGUGACAGAACCAAAUCCUGCAGAAAAUACAAUCAAUGAAAGAAUUCAAAGCAAAGGAUGUUCAAAAGUUUGCAUUUCAACCAUAAUAUUUGAACGCAUGUAAGUGAAGAAAGCGAUAUAUAAAAGGCAGAGGGAAGAAACCAAUAGAUGAAAUUAUGGAUAUUGCCACUACAUGCACUGUUCCUGUAUCUUUACGCAAAGCAAACAGAGCCAUCUUAAGGACCAUAUC